GACAGAGGGUGCAAACGUUGUUCGGAAUCACUGGGCGUAAAGCGCGUGUAGGCUGCUGCGCAAGUCGGAUGUGAAAUCCCACGGCUCAACUGGGAGGGGUCAUUCGAUACUGGCGGGCUCGAGGCCGGUAGGGGGAAGCGGAAUUCCCGGUGUAGUGGUGGAAUGCGUAGAUAUCGGGAGGAACACCAGUGGCGAAGGCGGCUUCCUGGACCGGUUCUGACACUGAGGAGCGGAAGCGUGGGGAGCGAUCCGG
rnacentral:rRNA from 1 species